rnacentral:rRNA from 1 species
UGGGGAAUAUUGGGCAAUGGAGGAAACUCUGACCCAGCCAUGCCGCGUGAGUGAUGAAGGCCUUAGGGUUGUAAAGCUCUUUCGUUGGUGAAGAUAAUGACGGUAACCAAAGAAGAAGCCCCGGCUAACUUCGUGCCAGCAGCCGCGGUAAUACGAAGGGGGCUAGCGUUGUUCGGAAUUACUGGGCGUAAAGCGCGCGUAGGCUGUACUGCAAGUCAGGGGUGAAAUCCCGGGGCUCAACCUCGGAAUUGCCUUUGAAACUGCAGUGCUGGAAUCUCAGAGGGGAUAGCGGAAUUCCAAAUGUAGGGGUGAAAUCCGUAGAUAUUUGGAGGAACACCGGUGGCGAAGGCGGCUAUCUGGAUGAGUAUUGACGCUGAGGCGCGAAAGCGUGGGGAUCAAA